CUACGUGCAGAGAAGCUGAAUGCGGAGAGAAGGGAUCGAGGUGGUGGAAGUUACAUGUUAAAUGGAAGCCCUGAAAUGAGAUAUGGUGGUGUUACUCUUGGUGAUGGAUCUGGUGGCAGAUGGACACCUUAUGAUAAGCAUGUUCGUCAUGGACGGUGAAGGACUGCUCUAUGUGGAAUUGGCAUGUAUAGGUUUUAGCUUCUUUUGUUGGGAGUUUGUAAACGCUAGAAAGUAUUUGACGUUGAAGCAUAUUGUUUUGAACUAAUUUGAUCUUCCCGUUAUCUCCUUUUGAGCCGUAUGAAUCAUUCUUUUUUGGUUUUAGGAAAUCACACAAGUCUUUAAUAUUAUAAUGAAGUUACGGUUGUGGCUAUUUUCAUUA